GAACGCCGUGUGAGGGGAAACUCUCACGCACGGUGUGGAGCGGGGGAAAAUCCGGCGAUUACUUCAAAGGAUUACCUAUCGCUAU
rnacentral:ncRNA from 1 species